rnacentral:rRNA from 1 species
UAGGGAAUCUUCGGCAAUGGACGGAAGUCUGACCGAGCAACGCCGCGUGAGUGAAGAAGGUUUUCGGAUCGUAAAGCUCUGUUGUAAGAGAAGAACGAGUGUGAGAGUGGAAAGUUCACACUGUGACGGUAUCUUACCAGAAAGGGACGGCUAACUACGUGCCAGCAGCCGCGGUAAUACGUAGGUCCCGAGCGUUGUCCGGAUUUAUUGGGCGUAAAGCGAGCGCAGGCGGUUAGAUAAGUCUGAAGUUAAAGGCUGUGGCUUAACCAUAGUAGGCUUUGGAAACUGUUUGACUUGAGUGCAAGAGGGGAGAGUGGAAUUCCAUGUGUAGCGGUGAAAUGCGUAGAUAUAUGGAGGAACACCGGUGGCGAAAGCGGCUCUCUGGCUUGUAACUGACGCUGAGGCUCGAAAGCGUGGGGAGCAAACAGGAUUAGAUACCCUGGUAGUCCACGCUGUAAACGAUGAGUGCUAGGUGUUAGACCCUUUCCGGGGUUUAGUGCCGUAGCUAACGCAUUAAGCACUCCGCCUGGGGAGUACGACCGCAAGGUUG